rnacentral:rRNA from 1 species
UACGUAGGGGGCAAGCGUUGUCCGGAUUUAUUGGGCGUAAAGAGCGUGUAGGCGGUUAGGUAGGUCCGUUGUGAAAACUCGAGGCUCAACCUCGAGACGCCGAUGGAAGCCAUCUGACUAGAGUCCGGAAGAGGAGAGUGGAAUUCCGUGGUGUAGCGGUGAAAUGCGCAGAUAUCAGGAAGAACACCCGUGGCUAAGGCGGCUCUCUAGUACGGUACUGACGCUGAGACGCGAAAGCGUGGGGAGCGAACAGG